AAUGCUUGGGUUGGGAGGUAGCUUAGAAUCAAGCUGAUCCUAUAUUAUGUAUGAUAUAGGAACCAUGCAACUGGCGCUCAGAAAAGCUUAGGCUGCCUGGAAGGAGAGGGCGAGGCGACAGGAAGCGUGGAUGGUGUCCAGAGUGGAAACACGGGCUCCGCAGUGGGCUGCAGACCGCGAGGCCCCAUGAGGCCAUCGCUUGCACCCAGCCUUAGAGGAAUUGCUGGAUGCAGAAACACUACUGUGUGCACCAUACUGUGAGCUCACGCAGAGCAGAGACUCAUCUUGGGAUUAAAAGCCAGAUAUGGAACUAUAUGCAAGAAUAUAAAAAAUAAAAUACUGGAAGAAGAAGGAGGAGGAGAAGGAGGAAGAGGAGGAGAGAAGGGAGAAGAAUAGAGGAGGAGAAGGAGAAGGACAGGAGAAGAGGAAUGCCUUUCGUAUGUUCUAAGCCAAUUGGGAGAAAUCACACACGAUUUCUAAAAAUUUUCAAUAAUUGUUAUAUUACAACAAAGUACAUUAUUUAAUAAGAGAAGAGAAGAGCGAGAUCUUUACACUUUCUGAAGGUUUGAGUGUGAUUAGGAAUUCUUUUAUUGAGGGGACUCAGUGCACAUGUUGAAAUGUUGGCCAGGAGUUUGUCACAAGACCAGUGAGCA
rnacentral:lncRNA from 1 species